rnacentral:rRNA from 1 species
UUAAGCGACUAAGCGUACACGGUGGAUGCCCUGGCAGUCAGAGGCGAUGAAGGACGUGCUAAUCUGCGAUAAGCGUCGGUAAGGUGAUAUGAACCGUUAUAACCGGCGAUUUCCGAAUGGGGAAACCCAGUGUGAUUCGUCACACUAUCAUUAACUGAAUCCAUAGGUUAAUGAGGCGAACCGGGGGAACUGAAACAUCUAAGUACCCCGAGGAAAAGAAAUCAACCGAGAUUCCCCCAGUAGCGGCGAGCGAACGGGGAGCAGCCCAGAGCCUGAAUCAGUGUGUGUGUUAGUGGAAGCGUCUGGAAAGGCGCGCGAUACAGGGUGACAGCCCCGUACACAAAAAUGCACAUGCUGUGAGCUCGAUGAGUAGGGCGGGACACGUGGUAUCCUGUCUGAAUAUGGGGGGACCAUCCUCCAAGGCUAAAUACUCCUGACUGACCGAUAGUGAACCAGUACCGUGAGGGAAAGGCGAAAAGAACCCCGGCGAGGGGAGUGAAAAAGACCUGAAACCGUGUACGUACAAGCAGUGGGAGCACGCUUAGGCGUGUGACUGCGUACCUUUGUAUAAUGGGUCAGCGACUUAUAUUCUGUAGCAAGGUUAACCGAAUAGGGGAGCCGAAGGGAAACCGAGUCUUAACUGGGCGUUAAGUUGCAGGGUAUAGACCCGAAACCCGGUGAUCUAGCCAUGGGCAGGUUGAAGGUUGGGUAACACUAACUGGAGGACCGAACCGACUAAUGUUGAAAAAUUAGCGGAUGACUUGUGGCUGGGGGUGAAAGGCCAAUCAAACCGGGAGAUAGCUGGUUCUCCCCGAAAGCUAUUUAGGUAGCGCCUCGUGAAUUCAUCUCCGGGGGUAGAGCACUGUUUCGGCAAGGGGGUCAUCCCGACUUACCAACCCGAUGCAAACUACGAAUACCGGAGAAUGUUAUCACGGGAGACACACGGCGGGUGCUAACGUCCGUCGUGAAGAGGGAAACAACCCAGACCGCCAGCUAAGGUCCCAAAGUCAUGGUUAAGUGGGAAACGAUGUGGGAAGGCCCAGACAGCCAGGAUGUUGGCUUAGAAGCAGCCAUCAUUUAAAGAAAGCGUAAUAGCUCACUGGUCGAGUCGGCCUGCGCGGAAGAUGUAACGGGGCUAAACCAUGCACCGAAGCUGCGGCAGCGACGCUGAUGCGUUGUUGGGUAGGGGAGCGUUCUGUAAGCCUGCGAAGGUGUGCUGUGAGGCAUGCUGGAGGUAUCAGAAGUGCGAAUGCUGACAUAAGUAACGAUAAAGCGGGUGAAAAGCCCGCUCGCCGGAAGACCAAGGGUUCCUGUCCAACGUUAAUCGGGGCAGGGUGAGUCGACCCCUAAGGCGAGGCCGAAAGGCGUAGUCGAUGGGAAACAGGUUAAUAUUCCUGUACUUGGUGUUACUGCGAAGGGGGGACGGAGAAGGCUAUGUUGGCCGGGCGACGGUUGUCCCGGUUUAAGCGUGUAGGCUGGUUUUCCAGGCAAAUCCGGAAAAUCAAGGCUGAGGCGUGAUGACGAGGCACUACGGUGCUGAAGCAACAAAUGCCCUGCUUCCAGGAAAAGCCUCUAAGCAUCAGGUAACAUCAAAUCGUACCCCAAACCGACACAGGUGGUCAGGUAGAGAAUACCAAGGCGCUUGAGAGAACUCGGGUGAAGGAACUAGGCAAAAUGGUGCCGUAACUUCGGGAGAAGGCACGCUGAUAUGUAGGUGAAGCGACUUGCUCGUGGAGCUGAAAUCAGUCGAAGAUACCAGCUGGCUGCAACUGUUUAUUAAAAACACAGCACUGUGCAAACACGAAAGUGGACGUAUACGGUGUGACGCCUGCCCGGUGCCGGAAGGUUAAUUGAUGGGGUCAGCGCAAGCGAAGCUCUUGAUCGAAGCCCCGGUAAACGGCGGCCGUAACUAUAACGGUCCUAAGGUAGCGAAAUUCCUUGUCGGGUAAGUUCCGACCUGCACGAAUGGCGUAAUGAUGGCCAGGCUGUCUCCACCCGAGACUCAGUGAAAUUGAACUCGCUGUGAAGAUGCAGUGUACCCGCGGCAAGACGGAAAGACCCCGUGAACCUUUACUAUAGCUUGACACUGAACGUUGAGCCUUGAUGUGUAGGAUAGGUGGGAGGCUUUGAAGUGUGGACGCCAGUCUGCAUGGAGCCGACCUUGAAAUACCACCCUUUAAUGUUUGAUGUUCUAACGUGGACCCGUAAUCCGGGUUGCGGACAGUGUCUGGUGGGUAGUUUGACUGGGGCGGUCUCCUCCUAAAGAGUAACGGAGGAGCACGAAGGUUGGCUAAUCCUGGUCGGACAUCAGGAGGUUAGUGCAAUGGCAUAAGCCAGCUUGACUGCGAGCGUGACGGCGCGAGCAGGUGCGAAAGCAGGUCAUAGUGAUCCGGUGGUUCUGAAUGGAAGGGCCAUCGCUCAACGGAUAAAAGGUACUCCGGGGAUAACAGGCUGAUACCGCCCAAGAGUUCAUAUCGACGGCGGUGUUUGGCACCUCGAUGUCGGCUCAUCACAUCCUGGGGCUGAAGUAGGUCCCAAGGGUAUGGCUGUUCGCCAUUUAAAGUGGUACGCGAGCUGGGUUUAGAACGUCGUGAGACAGUUCGGUCCCUAUCUGCCGUGGGCGCUGGAGAACUGAGGGGGGCUGCUCCUAGUACGAGAGGACCGGAGUGGACGCAUCACUGGUGUUCGGGUUGUCAUGCCAAUGGCACUGCCCGGUAGCUAAAUGCGGAAGAGAUAAGUGCUGAAAGCAUCUAAGCACGAAACUUGCCCCGAGAUGAGUUCUCCCUGACUCCUUGAGAGUCCUGAAGGAACGUUGAAGACGACGACGUUGAUAGGCCGGGUGUGUAAGCGCAGCGAUGCGUUGAGCUAACCGGUACUAAUGAACCGUGAGGCUUAACCUU